rnacentral:rRNA from 1 species
AAUUGAGAGUUUGAUCCUGGCUCAGGACGAACGCUGGCGGCGUGCUUAACACAUGCAAGUCGAACGGAAAGGCCCUGCUUUUGUGGGGUGCUCGAGUGGCGAACGGGUGAGUAACACGUGAGUAACCUGCCCUUGACUUUGGGAUAACUUCAGGAAACUGGGGCUAAUACCGGAUAGGAGCUCCUGCUGCAUGGUGGGGGUUGGAAAGUUUCGGCGGUUGGGGAUGGACUCGCGGCUUAUCAGCUUGUUGGUGGGGUAGUGGCUUACCAAGGCUUUGACGGGUAGCCGGCCUGAGAGGGUGACCGGCCACAUUGGGACUGAGAUACGGCCCAGACUCCUACGGGAGGCAGCAGUGGGGAAUAUUGCACAAUGGGCGGAAGCCUGAUGCAGCAACGCCGCGUGCGGGAUGACGGCCUUCGGGUUGUAAACCGCUUUCGCCUGUGACGAAGCGUGAGUGACGGUAAUGGGUAAAGAAGCACCGGCUAACUACGUGCCAGCAGCCGCGGUGAUACGUAGGGUGCGAGCGUUGUCCGGAAUUACUGGGCGUAAAGAGCUCGUAGGUGGUUUGUUGCGUCGUCUGUGAAAUUCCGGGGCUUAACUUCGGGGUGGCAGGCGAUACGGGCAUAACUAGAGUGCUGUAGGGGAGACUGGAAUUCCUGGUGUAGCGGUGGAAUGCGCAGAUAUCAGGAGGAACACCGAUGGCGAAGGCAGGUCUCUGGGCAGUAACUGACGCUGAGGAGCGAAAGCAUGGGGAGCGAACAGGAUUAGAUACCCUGGUAGUCCAUGCCGUAAACGAUGUCUACUAGCCGUUGGGGCCUUUGAGGCUUUAGUGGCGCAGCUAACGCGAUAAGUAGACCGCCUGGGGAGUACGGUCGCAAGAUUAAAACUCAAAGGAAUUGACGGGGACCCGCACAAGCGGUGGAUGAUGUGGAUUAAUUCGAUGCAACGCGAAGAACCUUACCUACUCUUGACAUCCAGAGAAUUUAGCAGAGAUGC